rnacentral:tRNA from 1 species
GGAAAUAGCUCAGUGGCAGAGCGCAUGCUUAGUAUGCACAAGGUCCUGGGUUCAACCCCCAGUACAUCCA